rnacentral:rRNA from 1 species
GACACAAGGAGGUAGUGACAAUAAAUAACAAUGCCGGGCCUUAUAGGUCUGGCAAUUGGAAUGAGAACAAUUUAAACCCCUUAUCGAGGAUCAAUUGGAGGGCAAGUCUGGU